UCGCGGCUUAUCACCGGCAGUCUCCUUAGAGUGCUCAACUAAAUGGUAGCAACUAAGGACGGGGGUUGCGCUCGUUGCGGGACUUAACCCAACAUCUCACGACACGAGCUGACGACAGCCACGCAGCACCUGUGUUCCGGGCUCCGAAGAGAAGGUCACAUCUCUGCGACCGGUCCCGGACAUGUCGAAUCCUGGUAAGGUUCUUCGCGUUGCCUCGAAUUAAACCACAUGUUCCACCGCUUGUGCGGGUCCCCGUCAAUUUCUUUGAGUUUUAACCUUGCGGCCGUACUCCCCAGGCGGUCAACUUCACGCGUUAGCUUCGUUACCAAGGAAUUACUUCCCCGACAACCAGUUGACAUCGUUUAGGGCGUGGACUAC
rnacentral:misc_RNA from 1 species